rnacentral:rRNA from 1 species
UACGGAGGGUGCAAGCGUUAUCCGGAUUUACUGGGCUUAAAGGGUGCGCAGGCGGAUAUGUAAGUCAGUGGUGAAAUCUCCGGGCUUAACCCGGAAACUGCCGUUGAUACUAUAUAUCUUGAAUGCUGUGGAGGUAAGCAGAAUAUGUCAUGUAGCGGUGAAAUGCUUAGAUAUGACAUAGAAUACCUAUUGCGAAGGCAGCUUACUACGCAGAUAUUGACGCUCAUGCACGAAAGCGUGGGGAUCAAACAGG